rnacentral:rRNA from 1 species
CCUACGGGAGGCUGCAGUGGGGAAUAUUGGACAAUGGGCGAAAGCCUGAUCCAGCCAUGCCGCGUGUGUGAAGAAGGCCUUCGGGUUGUAAAGCACUUUCAGUGGGGAAGAAAGCCUUGGGGCUAAUACCCUCGAGGAAGGACAUCACCCACAGAAGAAGCACCGGCUAACUCCGUGCCAGCAGCCGCGGUAAUACGGAGGGUGCGAGCGUUAAUCGGAAUUACUGGGCGUAAAGCGCGCGUAGGCGGUCUGAUAAGCCGGUUGUGAAAGCCCCGGGCUCAACCUGGGAACGGCAUCCGGAACUGUCAGGCUAGAGUGCAGGAGAGGAGGGUAGAAUUCCCGGUGUAGCGGUGAAAUGCGUAGAGAUCGGGAGGAAUACCAGUGGCGAAGGCGGCCUUCUGGACUGACACUGACGCUGAGGUGCGAAAGCGUGGGUAGCAAACAGGAUUAGAUACCCUUGUAGUC